GCAAUGGUGGUUCAGCGGCAGAAUUCUUGCCUUUCAUGCCGGAGACCUGGGUUUGAUUCCCAGCCAUUGGU
rnacentral:tRNA from 1 species